CUCCUGGCCUCUCCACAGACUCCUGACUAAGCGCUUCAGCUAAUCACUUUCCAACGUGCUUCCUCACACUGCUGCACAGACUCCGCUGUGGAGGGAGUAAGCUGCUCGGUGAGGCCUCCUCAGUCUGUGCAUAGUGCCUCCCAGCAAGGGCAUAGCAGGAAGUGCUGCAGUAGCUGGUGCUAUCCUUCUUUGCAACCUGCUUUCCUGGCAGCAUGGCUCACCAGGCCUUGGUCAGUGGCAGAGGGCAAAACCUGCUCUCUUUUCGUCACAAUCCCUGUAAUGAAUUGAGGUAUACAAAGCUGGUCAUACAAUACGUAGCAGCAGCGCGGAGAAAGACUCUUAGGGAAGAGUUUCCAUAGAAACACUGACGUCCUGCCCUGCUAACAGGACAUCGAGUUCCUUGAACGGGAGGAUGAUAUACUGCUUGCGUGUCUUUUUGUUAAAGGUGAUGUUCUAUGCAGGGCCGGUGAGUUAUAUGGGCCCGUGGUGCCUGGGCUCCUGCAAACUCAGGGCCCAGCUCCACCAAUGUUCGGGGCUGGGUCUCUCCCCGGCCCAACCUGCUGCCCCCGCAUGUCUCCCCCAGAGCAUCCCCAGCCCCGCAUGCCUCCCCCAGGCAGCGGGUGGCUGCUCCCUGCAGCUCUGCACUGUGCUCCCUCGCUGGCCGCUUCGGGUUACAAGGGAGCGGUGCCAGGGGCAGGCUGAGGUGGCUGAGGGAGCCCCCCGGCAGGCAACUCCGAGUUGACUCCGAAGGGGCGGGGGUGGGGGGGCUUAUCCUGGCUGGACCUCCUGAGCAGCAGCCUGGGGAGAGCUUGGGUGAGUGUUGUGCCAGGGGAGCCGGGGAGGGGCCCCCUCUCCCCCAGAGCUCACUGCUGCUGUGAGGAGAGGGCUGGGGGAGUCUUCUCUGGCCCCCAGUGCUGGGGCAAUCUGCCUGCUGCACUCCAAACUCCUCAUCCCUGGCCCAGCCCCAUGCCCUGCAUCCCCUCCUGCAUCCCAAC